rnacentral:rRNA from 1 species
AUGAACGCUAGCGACAGGCCUAACACAUGCAAGUCAGGGGCAGCACAAGGAGCAAUCUGAGGUGGCGACGGCGCACGGGUGAGUAACACGUAUGCAACCUGCCUGUAAGCGGGGAAUAACCCGUUGAAAGACGGACUAAUACCGCAUAAUACUAAAUUACUGCAUGGUAAUUUAUUUAAACAUUUAUGGCUUACAGAUGGGCAUGCGCAUGAUUAGCUAGUUGGAGAGGUAACGGCUCCCCAAGGCAACGAUCAUUAGGGGUUCUGAGAGGAAGGUCCCCCACACUGGUACUGAGACACGGACCAGACUCCUACGGGAGGCAGCAGUGAGGAAUAUUGGUCAAUGGACGAGAGUCUGAACCAGCCAAGUCGCGUGCAGGAAGAAUGUCCUAUGGAUUGUAAACUGCUCUUGCAGGGGAAUAAAGUGCAUCACGUGUGAUGUUUUGUAUGUACUCUGCGAAUAAGGAUCGGCUAACUCCGUGCCAGCCGCAGC